UACAUGCUUUUAUUGGAGCAGAUAAUGAAAAUAAAUUUAGCUCUUGCACAAACGUAUGGUUUCCCUUGUGUUGGUUUGUUCCCUCAUCUCUAAUUGUCUUCCACUCCCUAAACAGAUGUGUUUUGCCUUUGUGUUUAGGAGGACUGGGAUUGUUGACCUCUGCUUUAAUCCUGAUUUACCAAUCCUUUAAUCAGACAUCUCUUAGUGUCUUAAUACAGGGACUGUUUUUCCUGGGAGGAAGGGUUUGCAGACCUCAAUUUGAUAUUCCGCAAGAUCUGAUGUAGGAAACCAUGGACUAAGCUUUUACUAUGCCAUGCAUCUUAUUGGAAAACAAGUUAAAUGGAGUCCUGGAAAAUAAACAAACAGAAAAACAAAACAAAACAAAACACAAACAGAAAAAAAUAAUAUUGGUGUAAGUGAAUGAAGAUAAUUUGAGGUGAAAGAUGAAAACAAUCUUGGAUUGAAGCGUUUGUUGUUGAGUAGGCAUGGUUUCCUUAUAAUUAUAAUAAAUGGCCUUCCUUGGAAAAGAUGGCAUACGAGUCCUGGGAGAGGCAGAGCUCAUUCGUCACACGUUAAUUCCUUUGCAUCUCUUUUGAGACUAUCACAGGUAUCUUUUUUAAAAAGAAGGGAAUAGAGAUGAGAGACUAACUCAAGUGUUUUAAAUGCAUCCUUUGCUUCCACACAGUUAUUAUAUUCGUUGCCACCAUUAACCCCAUUGACUCAGUCACUGCACAAUGGCUGAAACUGCACUUCUGAAACACUCCAGCAUGGAAACAUUGACAGACUCAAUAAACAAGCUGAAGUCUAACAUGCUGCUGCUGCCUAUUGAACAUCUCUGGGCACAAACAGCUUCCUUUUAAUGUGGACAGAAAGACUAACUGAAAUUUUAAUCAAACAAAAAAGGCUGUCUGAGAAUAUUGAAAUGCCAGACCUUGUGGUAUUUUGACAAUAUUGGAUUUGUCUUCUCUGCAUCCCAUAACUAUUUCAAUUAGCUUUUGUCUAUGUUUUUUGCUUAAGUUUUUGUUGUUUAAAUCAGCAUAGUUUGCUGGUAUUUUGCACACUUCUCUUUUAAAUUCACAUGAAUAAUCUCUCCAGCUAUCAAAGACAUGACUUAUGCUAUGCUUUUAAGCACAUCAUGAAUUUAAUGCAGUAUAUGAAUAUUACUGUAUUUACUAUAUUUGUAAUCUCUUUGUUUUGUUUUUAUUACUGUUUUCUCUUUAAAUAUAUUAUUUAGUUAUAAGAUACCAUGUACUCUUAUUUUAAAAGCCCUUAAAAAGCCCUGAUCACAGCUGGUAUCUUUUUAAGGACACUUUUCAUACAGCAAUUCCCUUAUGUAAGAAAUCAGAAAGGGAAGGCAGGAAACCAGCAUGGCUCAGUAAGGACCUGCAGCUGGUCCAAUUGGAAAGGGAAUGCUCAGGCAGUGGAAACAGGGACAUGUGGCCUGGGAAAAAUAUACGGAUGCUGCCCACGUGUGUAGGGAUAGGAUCAGGAAAGCUAAGGCAUGACUGGAGCCGAACUCAGCAAAGAAUGCAAAGAAUAAGAGAUCCUGAAGGUACACUGGUCAGACAAGGAAGAUGAAAGAGAGUGUACACCCCUGAUACGCAAGAUGGGAGAACUGGUGAGGACAGACAUGGAGAAGGCUGAGGUAGUCAGCAUAUUUUGUAGGUAGUGAGUAUAUUUUGACCCUACCAGUUAUGAGUGAUGUGCAGAAAUCUGAAUCAAUCCUUUUGUUGAUUCUUCUGUAGGUUUGGAACAAUUAUUCAAUUUCCUUUUUACAAAAUGAAAGCUGUGGCUAAGGUAUGAAUUUAGAGAUGCUUUUGUGCUAGGUGAAUUACAUUAGUGAUCUGAUCUUCAGAAAGUGAUUUCUAGAUUGCAGACUUUAUUGUAAGGUGCUUGCUUUUCUUCCCUCUUUCUCCCUCUUAUUUGGUGUAGCUUAAACUCUCUGAUAUUUGUAUUGGAAAAUACUUUCACGAUUAUGAUACAAAUGUUUACAAAAGACAAAGAUAACAUAAAUCAUAAACUGAAAAUAAAUCAUAGCAAAGUUAUUCAGCAAGCUUGUGCCAUUGAUCACAGCCAAUCAUGCUACUUACUUUGCAUGCUCUUUUUAAAAGCAGCAGUGUAAUAUAAAUUUUUCUGAAGCAGGGUUGAAUAGACUCCAUCUGACAUGUAUUGCUAAUGCCAGAAUUAAAUUGAUUGUUAGCAUUUAUGACUACUUGACUACAUUUUUCUAUUGAGAAUUUAUUAUGCAAGAUGAAUCAAUUUCUCAAAACUGUUUGUAUGUUUGUUUGUUUUGCUCUCAUUUAGUCGCCAUAAAAAUAAACUGUCUGGAGAAGAUUUUCUUUUUACUAUUGACAGUAAAAAUAUUUUUAUCCUUCCUACUGUAACUUAUUUCUUUGAUUUUUUUUUUUUUUUUUGUAACAGAGGAAAUAACUAAAUAUUAAUAUAUUAGUAAAAUUUGAUAGCAAGUAAUUCCAAGGCCUGCUUAUAAGUUGUUACAUUCUGGAAAAGUACAGAGGACAUACUAAUAGUAAUGUGGCUGCUACGGGGGCAGGAAUUUACUGAUAUGCUGCAGAAGUCAGUUGAAAAUAGGAUUUUUUAGGAUGUCUGAUGGCUGUGUCUUUAAAUUUGCAUUAUGCUGCCAAGUACAAGCUAUGAAAACUUUUUAAAAACUAAGUACUUUCUCUUUUUUUAUUUAUUUAAUUAAGAUUUUUUUUUUUUUUCCUUAGAAAACCAUUUUGGGCUGAGCAGCUUCUUUGAAACUAGACCCACAAUGUUAAAAUAGUAAUUUAAUAUUUUCAAGAAUAUCAAGCUUCAUUUGCUUUUAAAAGUUUGGAGGCUUUAGUUAGCAAAAUCUAUCCUUUUAAACCUUAAUUAAAACUUCAUUUUUUAUAGAAUAGUGUUAUCAUUUGGAAAACAAUGGUGUGUUGCAAUAGAGGUAGAAGAAGAGAAUGUGUUUGCCUUGAACAUCCAAGGGACAUAAUUUUGUUCAAUGCAUAAUGGGGUUAAACUUAAUUUCAUGUCCUAUAAGAGAUGCUGCAGAGUACUAUUAGUCUAAGUGAAAUGAAAAUAAGACUGUUUCUCAGGCAAGGGAAAACAUGUUCACAGGACAUUAUAUCAAAAGCAGUUAAUUUGAAGGACAGGCAAAAACUAUAAUAUGGGAGCAAGAGAGGAAUGUCAUUAAUUCGUGCUAACAAUUCUAAUAUUUUCAUCUGUUUAGAGAAUGAUGAGAUAUAGUUGAGUGAGAAAUCAGUUUCAGAAGUAAUCUUGUUUUAAGGGGUAUUUACUUAAGUUUAUAAAUACAUUAUAAAUUAAUCUCUUCAGCCUCUAUAUAAACCAACAUAGAACUAAUGACAUUAUUUUAGAAUAUAUUGUAAAACAAGGUAAGAAUUAUAGUAAGUAUGGUGCCCAUAAUGACCGUAGGUUAUACACUUCAGCCCAAAGAUAUACUCAGUGCAAGUGAUAAUUAUUUUACAAUUGUUUUUGAAUAGAGACAGAAACUUAAUAAGAAGUACUAGGAUUCUGUAGAUACUAGGAAAAUACAUCCAUAGGUGAAGAACAUAAGAACUUGACUUGCCCCAACGCAUUUCUGAAUAGAAUCUCUCUAGAAGAGGGAGAUGAAAUUUUCAGUUGCCAGAUCCCCAUAUUUUCUGAAUUGGUGAAUCAAGUGCUCUGCUUUAGUUCUUAAACUCAGUUAUUUCCUAGUGUCACUGUACAAGUCUUUUAAUUUUCAGUCUAGGAGGAUUUGCUGAUUGCUGAUAGUUCUUCGAUCACUUCUUCAAACAACUGAUCAUAAUAAUUAUAAUGCUCUUACUUAAUGAGGCAGCACUCCUCUAAGAGCUAAGCAAAUAUUAUUUAUGGCUUAAGGAAUUCAGGUACAGAGAAAUUUAAAUAAUCAUGUAGAACCAAAGGGAGGGCUUCAAUAUUUCUGUCUAGGAUUUCUCAGAAAGAAAUAUGAGUGCUUAUAUCCUGUAAGAUUUGUUCAGUAGAUCAGAUGCUGCUAAAAAAUGUGGAAAUUCUUGUGCAUAAAUAUGAGGACAGCACAUAGGUCUUUGCUAUCAUAGAUUCAGUUCUUAUUUGGAAAUGAACCUCUAAGACUUACAGCAAGGUAUUUGUUCAUAUAUUCUUCAGUCUGUCAUCUUUUUUACUUUUCAGACCAAAUCUCUCUCCUUUCUCUACUCACAGAAAGAACUUAUACAACUUUUUUGGAUAGGGACAAAUGAUUUUUCGAAGUCUUCAUUGCAUCCAAUGCUCUAUUCUGCUCGUAGCUUAUACUGGUUAGGAAUAGGGGGGGGAAAAUGUCCCAAAAUACAGACUCUUAACUAAAAUACCUAUGCCAGUAUGAAGCCCAGCAUGAAGCCCUAAUACUGAUAGAGUUAAUGGGUAUUGUCCUUUAGCAAGAAAAAGCUUAUUUUGUUCAAGAAGUGGGAUAAGCCACCCCAGAAAAUUGUAUUUGCUGAUGUAACUUGGAACUCCGUGAAGACUACUGUUUGUCCAGCAAAAUGGAGUUUUCUCUUUCUUUGACAGCUUUCACACCAGUAUGUCUGAAUUAUUCUGUAGCUUUAUAGGAUUGCUCUUUUGAGCCAUAGCUCCUAUAUGUGAUUGCCAUUGCAAAUGUGGAGUGAAAUUCAAGCUAACACUUAAGAGUGGAUUGGAAUAUGGAGGUGUGGGUGAGGAAAUGCUGUUGGCACAAUUAAUAUUUAGAAUACUGAAUAAAAAUAAAACAUAAAGGUUAGGCAAGGGACUUUGGUUACUUAUUAUUUGCCCCCAAGACUAUCUUUGAGAUUUCAUAUGAGGGGGCCUCUGAAAUGAUGCUGGGAUGUGUUUUGUGAAAACAGUAAUAGGACAUACUCCAGAGGCAAUGCAUGUCAGCCAACCACAACAAUAAAUAAUAAUAAUUAAAAAAAAAUGCAAGCAUCUCUUCCAAAAAAAAACAAGCUAAUUAGUUCAGCAAACUACAUAGUGAGGUCACCUUUACUUUCCUUGGUCUCUGAAAACAUUACCAUCCAUGAAAUUUUAUUUGCUAGUUGUCAGUCCAGAGUCUCAGCUGGUUCUUCCAUACAUGAUUCAUAAGGGCAAAGGUCUUUAAAAAUUUCCACAUUAUACUGAAUGACUCUGUCUCUUACAAUCUGCUCCUUCUUCCUCACAUAUUACAUCAUGCUUCCUUCCUUUGCACCAUGCAGUUCUCCAGUAUUUCUGUUCUCCGUUUCCCUUGCAUAUUAUCCUUAUUUUUUCUUUCCUUAUUUUAUCUGAACUUUGUGGUACAUAGAGUGGAACUUGAUACAUUUCUUUCUUGUGAAUCAGAAGCUAGCUGAAAUAUGACUAGAAUUUGUACCAUGGACAGAUUUUGUUCAUUUCAAAUAGGAGUGACUUGUGGGAAAAAGGAUUUAUUGAAAGGUAAUGACAUUUGCUGCUAGUUCAAAACUGAGCAGUGCUAAAGGGUCAGUCAGUUCAGUGAAAAGGGCAAAAAAUUUAAAAUGGAUGGAGUAGAUUCAGAACAUCAUGCUCAGAUACCUGCUUUCCACUUGAAGUAAGGAAAAUUCUAGUAACAAUACUGGGGAAGUUGAGGAAGGAAGAUAGUAUGUGUAAUAUAUUCAAAAGCAUUAAGCGAAAACAAAAUGAGGAUGGCAAAUCUUCCAAAAAUUAUUAUACAAUGCUUUAUAACAGCCAACUGAAUAAAGAAUUCCUUUGUUUUUAUUUUUAUAUGAUACUGAAGAAAUCAGCUAGAGGGAAAGACUGCUGUUUUAAAAAGAAGCUUGUUGGUCUCUUUGAAUGUGUGCACCGUUUUGUAAAUAUAGUGUCAUGAAUGAAUGUCCAGAAUUAAACACGGAUGCUGUGUUCUAGUUAUUUUUAUAAACAGGAGAGAAACUUUGCAGGCAUUUUCUAACAUGUUGCUGCUGUUAUCCUCUUUUUUUUUCCUUCCCUUUGACUUAAAAUUACAGAUGCGUAAGCAAUAGGAAGAAGAGUAGGGCUUGCCUAGGGACAAUCUGACCAUGUGUCCGUUACCCAAGACAGCUGAGUCUUCCCCUUUACCACAGAAUUGCAACUUUGAAGGAAAAGAUGAAGAAAAUAGCAAUAAUGACAUUUUUGUUAUGCUAGAAAGAAGAGUUAAGGAGGUGUUAUAACUGACGUAGCAUUCAGUCUGUUCUCCUUACUUGAAAUUGUUUGAUUGUAUUCGAUAUUUUUAUAAAUACCGUCAACAGAAAGAGCUAUUUUUCAAGGAUGAAGUAAUUUUUUUUUGAUAAGGUGUAUGAAAUGUAGGGAAGUACAUUAAGGUCACUUGGGGGAUGAGGGGGAAUCUAAAUAAUCACAAAUUAUUCUGAACAAUGGUAGUUUAGAUGCAGCUGGUAGAUUACCAGCUCGUCAGUAGAGAGGAUAAAAUUCUUAAUUAAUUCUUGAGCUGUGGAAUGAACUUAUAAUAUAUGAUUUUAUCUUUCUAUUUUUUAUCAUUGUAUUUUGCAGUCUGGGGCCAGCUUCAUUUUAUUCACUUUAGAAUGUAAAAUUCAAAGGGAUUUUCCUUUAAUGAGAAGUAAAACAUACUUAUUCCGUAUUUAAAGGAGUAGUAGAGAUCAUCCUGAUCAUAUGGUAAAUGGAACUAUGUUGGCCAGACCACAAAUUUUGAAAUUAGCUGUUCUAACUAUUGCUUUGUUUCUGUAGCAAAGAUCAUUUCAUGACAGAAUUUGUUAUUCAUGUAAUGACAUGAAAACUUCAUUAACAUUUUUUGGUCAAUACUAAUAUUUACUGUUAUCAUACUUCGUAUGCUGUUAGCAUAUGUUAACAAUACGUUAACAAUACUGUUAGCAUAUUUUGUAUAAUCAAAGAAAGAAUAAUUUCAUAUCAAGUAUCACAUAUUUUGUAUCUAAGACUACUUUCACUUAGCUUUUUUUUCCAAGUACUUGUGAAAAAUUAGAACUUUGUUUUCCUGGAGCUUAAAGCGAUUAGUUAAUGUAAUUUUUAGAGAGAAACCAGUCUUCAAUGGCAUUACUCUAGAACAGAAAAAAAUAGUGUUCUUAAAAAACUGUCAAAAACAAUGCUCCACCUUGAGGCUGAUAGUAAAAUCACCAAUAAAAAAGAACAUACUCUGUAUUAAUAACUUAUUGUAGAUGAGCCAUCAGGGUGCUGUUUUCCAAAAGUACAUAAUUCUAUUUUUUAUUUUUUUUUCAAAAUAAUGAAAGCUUAAGGACCCACCUCAUAGUGUCAUACAAAAAGAGAUGUGAUAGCAUAUAGGGCAGCAAAAAUGAAAAAUAGGUGCUGGAGUUACAAAAGGAAAAAAAAAGGAGUAAGAAAAAGGAAAAUCAGCCGGUACCCAUGUACCACCUUCGACAGCUGAGGAACUGCAUCCACCUUCUGCAAGUGGGUGGGCGUACCACCUUCAUUGGGACUCUCAAUUCUGCCUUCAUGGUGCAGUGGAUGGUCCCUGAGCAUAUCUACUGGCUGCAUUCAGUGCAUCAUGGCAGUGAGGCAAGCUUUUCUUUAGACAGGUAGCCAUAGGAGGAAGUCACUGUGGUGACUAUUAUUUUAAACACACAAUCAUGGAAGUAAUCACCCAGCAUUAGUUUAUUUUUAGCAAGUGAGGUUUCAAACAUAUUUUCUAUUUUAUGAGACAUAGCCUGAAUAUUGCCUGGUUUGAAGUUUUUCUACUGCUCUUGUGGACUCACAGGGCUAGAAGAGAAGAAAUAGGAGUUUGUGACUGUAUGUGCAGGAAUAGCUUUGCGUACUGAAAAAUGUCUUAGUCUUUCUCUAAAUGCUUCUUGAUAAAAGGAAAUAGUUAUUUAAAAUGGAAAAUCAGAUUCUCAGUAGACAGCAACACAGCAAGCAUUUGAAAUACUGCAGAUAGGAUUUUUAGAAUUAGUUUAAAUUAUGUUCCAUCUGAAGACAAUAAUAAAAUUUAAGAAAAAAAAUAGAACACCUUAGCUUUUGAGUAGUUCCACCAAUGAAAGGCUUUAUGAAUUUAUAUAUAAACUUUUAUUAAAAGUUCAUUUUAUUUCAAAAUAGAGUCUACUUGUUUCACCAAAAUAUUUUUUUUCCUAAUAAAUCACAUUCUAGAAUGUGAACAUGAAGUUAGUGUUACAACUAGUGAAAUGGUAUAGAAUAAUCUUGUUUUGUAGUGUCCUGUAAUUUUCUAAAUGAGACUGAAUGUGGUUAUGAUCUUAUUAAAUCAGUAUAAUGAUAAUCUGAAUAAUUUACAACUGUGAGGUAAUUAUAAAGGUGUAUUUUUGAAAAAAAAAAUAAAUUAAGUUUUAGAUAUACUCGGAAUUGCUUGGAAUAUUUAGAAUACAUUCCAUGGAUCAGUUAUUUGAGAAAUCACAAAAAUGAUUACAAUUAAAGAAGUGGUUAAAAAUGUAUAUCAUGCUUAGUUGUAUUACAGAAACCAAAGUAAUUCCAUUUUAAUUAUAAAAAAAGUUAAAUUUAGGUACUAGCAGGCAAAUUAGUCAUCUAGGUACUCAUACAGUAGAGCUAGUUUGCUUCUACAUUACAAGAAGGCCUUUUUUUCUUUUUAUUGCAGGUUACUGGAAUAUAGGGCCUAGUUUUGGUGCUAAAACAGGCACUCUGGCUGAACUUAGUGGUCUCCUUUUCCACCUUUCUUUGUUCAGAUACCAGUAGCUGCAGCCAUGAGGUAGUUUGGGACUUCAGAACAGAAUCUUGCUUAUCAGAUUUCUCAUCAGCAGGAUUCUAUCUUGAGUGCAAGAGCUGUGCAGGUUGGCACCAGCGUUGCCAAAGACUUGGAGGAAUUGGUAGGGACCAGUGUCCAUUCCACCUCUAUGAAGCUGAAACAAGGGAAGCUGAACAUCACAUUAUGAAAAAAUUUAAUUAAUUGGAUAUGUCAAGUUGGUUUUCAGAAGGGGAAUCACCCUGAGUGUAGGGUUUCCAGUAAGACCAGCAUGUAACAGACAGCCAUCCAUUUAAUUCACUUGGAACAGCUGCUAGGCAUUUAUCUUUACAAGCUUUGUUGGUACUGUCCACAGCAUAGAACAAAUUUAAAAAAAAAAAAAAAAAAAAAAAAAAAAAA